rnacentral:pre_miRNA from 2 species
CCCUUGAUUUCUCUGCCACUCCGUGAUUAGCUGAAGUGUCUGAGGAAUCAUGAGAG